rnacentral:rRNA from 1 species
GAUGAACGCUAGCGGCAGGCUUAACACAUGCAAGUCGAGGGGCAGCACAAAUAGUAGCAAUACUAUUGGUGGCGACCGGCGGACGGGUGCGUAACGCGUAUACAACCUUCCCUAAACAGGGGGAUAAUCUGGAGAAAUUCGGUCUAAUACCCCAUAACAUCAGAGCAGGCAUCUGUUUGGUUAAAAUUUCCGGAGGUUUAGGAUGGGUAUGCGUAGCAUUAGCUAGUUGGUGAGGUAACGGCUCACCAAGGCGACGAUGCUUAGGGGGACUGAGAGGUUAACCCCCCACACUGGUACUGAGACACGGACCAGACUCAUACGGGAGGCAGCAGUGAGGAAUAUUGGUCAAUGGGCGGAAGCCUGAACCAGCCAUGCCGCGUGCAGGAUGACGGCUCUAUGAGUUGUAAACUGCUUUUGUACGAGGGUAAAGUGGGCUACGUGUAGCCUUUUGAAAGUAUCGUACGAAUAAGGAUCGGCUAACUCCGUGCCAGCCGCCGCCGUAA